rnacentral:rRNA from 1 species
UGGAUGAUGUGGUUUAAUUCGAUGCAACGCGAAAACCUUACCACCUUUGACAUGGCAGGAAGUUACCAGAGAUGGUUUCGUGCUCGAAAGAGAACCUGCACACAGGUGCUGCAUGGCUGUCGUCAGCUCGUGUCGUGAGAUGUUGGGUUAAGUCCCGCAACGAGCGCAACCCUUGCCAUCAGUUGCUACGAAAGGGCACUCUGAUGGGACUGCCGGUGACAAACCGGAAGAAGGUGGGGAUGACGUCAAGUCCUCAUGGCCCUUAUAGGUGGGGCUACACACGUCAUACAAUGGCCGGUACAAAGGGCAGCCAACCCGCGAGGGGGAGCCAAUCCCAUAAAGCCGGUCGUAGUCCGGAUCGCAGUCUGCAACUCGACUGCGUGAAGUCGGAAUCGCUAGUAAUCGUGGAUCAGCAUGUCACGGUGAAUACGUUCCCGGGUCUU